AACGAACGCUGGCGGCAGGCUUAACACAUGCAAGUCGAACGCAUCCUUCGGGGUGAGUGGCAGACGGGUGAGUAACGCGUGGGAACGUGCCCUUCAGUUCGGGAUAACCCAGGGAAACUUGGGCUAAUACCGGAUACGUGCGAGAGCAGAAAGAUUUAUCGCUGAAGGAUCGGCCCGCGUCUGAUUAGCUAGUUGGUGGGGUAAUGGCCCACCAAGGCGACGAUCAGUAGCUGGUCUGCGAGGAUGAUCAGCCACAUUGGGACUGAGACACGGCCCAAACCCCUACGGGGGGCAGCAGUGGGGAAUAUUGGACAAUGGGCGCAAGCCUGUUCCAGCCAUGCCGCGUGAGUGAUGAAGGCCUUAGGGUUGUAAAGCUCUUUCGUCCGGGACGAUAAUGACGGUACCGGAAGAAGAAGCCCCGGCUAACUUCGUGCCAGCCGCCGCGGUAA
rnacentral:rRNA from 1 species